UACGAAGGGGGCUAGCGUUGCUCGGAAUCACUGGGCGUAAAGGGUGCGUAGGCGGGUUUUUAAGUCAGGGGUGAAAUCCUGGAGCUCAACUCCAGAACUGCCUUUGAUACUGAAGAUCUUGAGUUCGGGAGAGGUGAGUGGAACUGCGAGUGUAGAGGUGAAAUUCGUAGAUAUUCGCAAGAACACCAGUGGCGAAGGUGGCUCACUGGCCCGAUACUGACGCUGAGGCACGAAAGCGUGGGGAGCAAACGGG
rnacentral:rRNA from 1 species